UACCUGCAGCUCGAGUGGUAACCGUUAUUAUUGGGCCUAAAGCGUCCGUAGCCGGUUUGGUAAAUAUCUGGGUAAAUCGUGAGGCUUAACUUCACGAAUUUCGGAUAGACUGCCAGACUUGGGAUCGGGGGAGGUCAGAGGUACUCCAGGGGUAGCGGUGAAAUGUUGUAAUCCUUGGAGGACCACCGGUAGCGAAGGCGUCUGACUAGAACGAGUCCGACGGUGAGGGACGAAGCCCUGGGGCGCAAACCGGAUUAGAUACCCGGGUAGUCCAGGGUGUAAACAAUGUGGGCUUUGUAUUGGAGGUCCCACGUGGGCGUCCAGUGCAGAAGAGAAGUUGUUAAGCCCACCGCCUGGGAAGUACGGUCGCAAGGCUGAAACUUAAAGGAAUUGGCGGGGAGCACCACAAGGCGUGAAGCUUGCGGUUC
rnacentral:rRNA from 1 species